GCUCAGGGACUCAGGAAAAUUCUAGAACUGAAGAUGGGUUAAGCCACAGACACUGCUUCUCAUCUCCAUACCUCUGAGCUCCUGACAGGACUUGGAGCAACCUGGAGGGGGGCACCCUGCUCUGCAUAAAUGGAAAGACAAGUACCCCAGAUGAUCCUCCAGGCAAAUGCCACCUAAGGGAGCCCAGUCUUUGCAGAGCCCACCUAGUCAGGGCGAUGCCCACAAUCAUGACUGAAAGGACUUAUGAGGAUGCUCCAGGGAACAUUUCAGAAUUUAAACUUCUAUCAAAGUUGUCACUGCAAACUAGAAUGCAUCUUUAAGACAUAGUGCAUCUCUAACAGAACACAACAUGUGGCUUUUCUAAGUAGCCAGGGUGCUGAGAGCUCGUGGAGCCCUCGGGGCUAGACCCAGGGAGAACAGAGGAGGGGAGUGUCCCAGGACAGAGCAGGCUCAAAGGAGUGAAGCCAUGUUGUUCAACCUGGGGCACAUCUGGUGAAGCUCAAUCUCCAGUCCUGAUGGUCCAAGCCAAUUAACUGCUACCAGACAUGACUCUCGUCAUCUUGUCCUCAAACCCACCCAGGCUUGAGGGCUAGUGUGAAGCAGGAACUGAGGAGAACACCGGCAGCUGGAAGUCCAGAUGUUAAGGGACUUCAGUGUGAACUUCGCAGUAUUAAAAAUAAAAUC